rnacentral:rRNA from 1 species
AUGGCGAUGCCUAUGCAUUUUCUCUCUGUUUUGUCAUUGCCGGCAUGGGCGCUGGAUAUCAUUAAUAGAAGAUGUAGGGGAUUCAUUUGGAAAUGGGAAAAUGAGAUCAGUGGUGGUCAUUGCCUCCUGCCUUGGGCUAGAGUGUGUAUGCCAAAGGAGUGUGGAGGCUUGGGCAUUGUGAACUUGAAGUGGUUUGGCUUGGCUUUGCGUUGCAGAUGGCCUUGGCUGCGCUGGGACCCAAAAGAGCGACCAUGGCGCAGGUUGCCUGAUGGACAGGAGGGUGAGGUCACAGCUAUUUUCUGUGCGGCCUUGUCUGCCUGUUUGGGGGAUGGAGGACGGGCAAAGUUCUGGACGGACAACCGGUUACCAGAGGGCAAUCGCAACUGGAUCCGAGACAUCUCAGGAGGGGUGUUGGUCGUCGCUAUUGCACAAUAUCUCACGGUUUGGGACAUUACUCAAAAUGUGUCAUUGACACCUGGUGUCCCUGGUCAUCUAUUGUGGAAGCUGAUCGAGGAUCAUCUCUUCUCUGUCAAGAGUGCAUACAACUUGUUCUUUGUUGCAUCUGUGCGCUUCGCCUGCUACAAACCAAUUUGGAAGUCCAAGGCCCCUCCAAGAUGCAAGUUUUUCAUGUGGAUGGUGGUUCAUCGCCGAUGCUUGACUGCAGACAACUUGGAGCAUAGAGGCUGGCCCUCAAACGGCAAUUUCCCUAUGUGCCUCGUCACACCGGAGGACUGCAACCACCUGUUCAUACACUGCAAAUUCACACAACAAGUCUGGCUGUUGUUCAGAAAUUGGAAACGAGCGGCUUUUUAGGUGCUAGCAGAUCAUUUCAACAGUACUGAAGACUGGUGGCUGCAAGCACGUAAAGAAGUUCCCAAGCCCAUGCGUCGUGAUUUUGACACAAUCGCCAUCUUGAUUCACUGGAGGAUUUGUAAGGAAAGAAAUUCCAAAUUUUUUGAGCAGAAAGCAAGCAAUCCAUUCAGGGUUUUGGAUGUGGUCAGAGAAGAUAUUGGCACAUGGAGGGCGGCGGGUUGUGUUUCAAACAUCUGCAACCUCUCUUGA